rnacentral:tRNA from 1 species
UGCGGGGUAGCCAAGUGGUAAGGCGCCGGCCUCAUAAGCCGGGAAAUGCGCGGGUUCGAAUCCCGCCCCCGCUACCCA